ACCUGACUGCUAUCGGAUUGAUACUAAGCCAUGCGAGUCAUUGUAGCAAUACAAGGCAUACGGCUCAGUAACGCGUAGUCAACCUAACCUAUGGACGGGAAUAACCUCGGGAAACUGAGAAUAAUGCCCGAUAGAACAUUAUGCCUGGAAUGGUUUAUGUUCCAAAUGAUUUAUCGCCAUAGGAUGGGACUGCGGCCUAUCAGUUUGUUGGUGAGGUAAUGGCCCACCAAGACUAUUACAGGUACGGGCUCUGAGAGGAGUAGCCCGGAGAUGGGUACUGAGACACGGACCCAGGCCCUAUGGGGCGCAGCAGGCGAGAAAACUUUGCAAUGUGCGAAAGCACGACAAGGUUAAUCCGAGUGAUUUCUGCUAAAGAGAUCUUUUGUUAGUCCUAGAAACACUAACGAAUAAGGGGUGGGCAAGUUCUGGUGUCAGCCGCCGCGGUAAAACCAGCACCUCAAGUGGUCAGGAUGAUUAUUGGGCCUAAAGCAUCCGUAGCCGGCUCUGUAAGUUUUCGGUUAAAUCUGUACGCUCAACGUACAGGCUGCCGGGAAUACUGCAGAACUAGGGAGUGGGAGAGGUAGACGGUACUCGGUAGGAAGUGGUAAAAUGCUUUGAUCUAUCGAUGACCACCUGUGGCGAAGGCGGUCUACCAGAACACGUCCGACGGUGAGGGAUGAAAGCUGGGGGAGCAAACCGGAUUAGAUACCCGGGUAGUCCCAGCUGUAAACUAUGCAAACUCAGUGAUGCAUUGGCUUGUGGCCAAUGCAGUGCUGCAGGGAAGCCGUUAAGUUUGCCGCCUGGGAAGUACGUACGCAAGUAUGAAACUUAAAGGAAUUGGCGGGGGAGCACCACAAGGGGUGAAGCCUGCGGUUC
rnacentral:rRNA from 2 species